rnacentral:tRNA from 1 species
AUCGGCGUAGUUCAAGGGGAGAACGUCCGUGUGACUGGCGGAAGAAGAUGGUUCGACGCCAUCCGCGGAUACCA